CUCUCUCUCUCUCUCUCUCUCUCUCUCUCUCUCUUUUUUUUUUUUAAAGGAUGAGUGAGAUGAUCAUUAGUGUUCGCAGAGGGAAUUCUGGCCAAUAUAAUUACAAGCAGUGAAAAUUAGUUAGAUUUGGAAUAUGAUUCAUGCUACCUCAAAUCCUCAGUUUCCAAGUUUGAAACCUAAGAGAAGCCAUCUUUAGAACAGACCACCUCAGCAUCACCUGCSUAUUUUAUGGUGAAAUCCAGCUUCAUCCUCAAGGUAAAAGGGUCUUCACUGAAUGUAAUCUGCAGUCCCUUAAGCAAGCUGUUGGACUGAGUCCUCAGUGUAUUUAUAAGUCUUAUGAGGACGAGCUACAAGGAAAGACAGAACCAGAAUU
rnacentral:lncRNA from 1 species